AUGCCAAUAGUUUAAUGGUAAAAUAACAGCGUCCGAAACUGGGUAUGGGGGUUCGAUUCCCUCUUGGCAUGCCA
rnacentral:tRNA from 1 species